AUAACAGAACUAGUCUGCAAAUAUAGUACUGAAAUAUUUUCUCAUUUUUCAGCAGACUCCAGAUAGAAGUUCUUUCCAGAUGUAAAGUGAAUUGAUGAAAUCUUUAAAAAGUGUUGUGAGUGUUGGUGUUGUCCAGAUAUAAAAAAAAUGAGCAGCUGCCAGAUGAAUGUACUUUCCAGAUGUAAACCAUCACAAAUGAUGCCUGUUUGUAUUUACCAGUGUUUAAAAAGUGAUCAAAUUUGAUGUGGGAUGAUUCAAAACAAGUCUACAAAUUGACAAUGGCAAAAAGCAAGUGGAAAUGGAAUACUCCAGAUGAAAAUGGUUAGCAU